rnacentral:pre_miRNA from 1 species
AAUGAGGGAGUGAUUGAACACGAUGACCGCUCGACGGGAGCAUCCAUUGCGAGAUUGCACCCGUAGUCCGUUAUCGUCUUCAACCAACUCCAAUCUCAU